rnacentral:rRNA from 1 species
GGCUCGAGGACGACGCUGGCGGCGUGCCUAAUACAUGCAAGUCGAACGGUCUUUCUAUGGAAGCUUGCUUCCACUGAGAAGAUAGUGGCGGAACGGGUGAGUAACACGGUGGGUAACCUGCCCAUAAGGAGGGGGGAUAACAUCCGGGAAACGGGUGCUAAUACCGCAUAGUUUUCUUGAUCGCAUGAUACGGGAAAGGAAAGACGGCCUUUGUGCUGUCGCUUAUGGAUGGACCCGCGGCGUAUUAGUUAGUUGGUGAGGUAACGGCUCACCAAGACGAUGAUACGUAGCCGACCUGAGAGGGUGAUCGGCCACAUUGGGACUGAGACACGGCCCAAACUCCGUACGGGAGGCAGCAGGUAGGGAAUCUUCCGCAAUGGACGAAAGUCUGACGGAGCAACGCCGCGUGAGUGAAGUAAAGGGUUUUCGGAUCGUAAAACUCUGUUGUCAGAGAAGAACAAGUUGGAGAGUAACUGCUCCAGCCUUGACGGUAUCUGACCAGAAAGCCACGGCUAACUACGUGCCAGCCGCGGC